rnacentral:rRNA from 1 species
CAGUCGCCACGGUAAUACGUAGGGGGCAAGCGUUGUCCGGAAUUAUUGGGCGUAAAGAGCUCGUAGGCGGUUUGUCGCGUCUGCUGUGAAAUCCCGAGGCUCAACCUCGGGCCUGCAGUGGGUACGGGCAGACUAUAGUGCGGUAGGGGAGAUUGGAAUUCCUGGUGUAGCGGUGGAAUGCGCAGAUAUCAGGAGGAACACCGAUGGCGAAGGCAGAUCUCUGGGCCGUAACUGACGCUGAGGAGCGAAAGGGUGGGGAGCAAACAGGCUUAGAUACCCCGGUAGUCCCUGUCUCUUAUAC